rnacentral:lncRNA from 1 species
AAUUCAGUUUAGGGUUUAAAACCCUAUUGCUAACUAAAAGAAAAAGUUCAGUUUAGAGUUUAAAAUCCUAAUGCUGACUGAAGGAAAGAGUUCAGUUUAGGGUUUAAAUCCCUAAUGCUGACUGAAGGAAAGAGUUCAGUUUAGAGUUUAAAACCCUAAUGCUGACUAAAGGAAAAAGUUCAGUUUAGGAUUUAAAACCCUAAUGUUGACUGAAUGGAAAAAGUUCAGUUUAGGGUUUAAAACCCUAAUGCUGACUGAAGGAAAGAGUUUAGUUUAGGGUUUAAAACCCUAAAACUGACUAAAGGAAAGAGUUCAGUUUAGGGUUUAACACCCUAAUGCUGACU